GACGAACGCUGGCGGCGUGCUUAACACAUGCAAGUCGAACGGAAAGGCCCUGCUUUUGUGGGGUGCUCGAGUGGCGAACGGGUGAUUAACACGUGAGUAACCUGCCCUUGACUUUGGGAUAACUUCAGGAAACUUGGGCUAAUACCUGAUAGGAGCUCCUGCUGCAUGGUGGGGGUUGGAAAGUUUCGGCGGUUGGGGAUGGACUCGCGGCUUAUCAGCUUGUUGGUGGGGUAGUGGCUUACCAAGGCUUUGACGGGUAGCCGGCCUGAGAGGGUGACCGGCCACAUUGGGACUGAGAUACGGCCCAGACUCCUACGGGGGGCAGCAGUGGGGAAUAUUGCACAAUGGGCGGAAGCCUGAUGCAGCAACGCCGCGUGCGGGAUGACGGCCUUCGGGUUGUAAACCGCUAUCGCCUGUGACGAAGCGUGAGUGACGGUAAUGGGUAAAGAAGCACCGGCUAACUACGUG
rnacentral:rRNA from 1 species